rnacentral:rRNA from 1 species
UACGUAGGCAGCGAGCGUUGUUCGGAGUUACUGGGCGUAAAGGGUGUGUAGGCGGUUCCGUAAGUCGUGAAGUCAAAUCUCUGGGCUCAACCCAGAAUCGCUUCCGAUACUGCGGUGACUGGAGUCCGGUAGGGGAGUGUGGAAUUCCUGGUGUAGCGGUGAAAUGCGCAGAUAUCAGGAGGAACACCAACAGCGAAGGCAGCACUCUGGGCCGGUACUGACGCUGAGGAGCGAAAGCAUGGGGAGCGAAACAGG